GACGAACGCUGGCGGCGUGCUUAACACAUGCAAGUCGAACGGAAAGGCCCUGCUUUUGUGGGGUGCUCGAGUGGCGAACGGGUGAGUAACACGUGAGUAACCUGCCCUUGACUUUGUGAUAAAUUCAGGAAACUGGGGCUAAUACCCGAUAGGAGCUCCUGCUGCAUGGUGGGCGUUGGAAAGUUUCGGCGGUUGGGGAUGGACUCGCGGCUUAUUAGCUUGUUGGUGGGGUAGUGGCUUACCAAGGCUUUGACGGGUAGCCGGCCUGAGAGGGUGACCGGCCACAUUGGGACUGAGAUACGGACCAGACUCCUACGGGUGGCAGCGGUAGGGAAUAUGGCACAAUGGGCGGGAGCCUGAUGCAGCAGCGCCGCGUGCGGGAUGACUGCCUUCGGGUUGUGAACCGCUUUCGCCUGUGACGAAGCGUGAGUGACGGUAAUGGGUAAAGAAGCACCGGCUAACUACGUG
rnacentral:rRNA from 1 species